AUUGAACGCUGGCGGCAGGCUUAACACAUGCAAGUCGAACGAGCGGCGGACGGGUGAGUAAUGUCUGGGAACCUGCCCGAUGGAGGGGGAUAACUACUGGAAACAGUAGCUAAUACCGCAUACCAUCAGAGGUGCCCAGAUGGGAUUAGCUAGUGGGUGGGGUAAUGGCUCCCCAAGGCAACGAUCCCUAGCUGGUUUGAGAGGAGGACCAGCCACACUGGAACUGAGACACGGACCAGACUCCUACGGGAGGCAGCAGUGGGGAAUGUUGGACAAUGGGGGAAAGCCUGAUACAGCCAUGCCGCGUGUGUGAAGAAGGCCUUCGGGUUGUAAAGCACUUUCAGCGAGGAGGCGUUACUCGCAGAAGAAGCACCGGCUAACUACGUGCCAGCAGCCGCGGUAAUUC
rnacentral:rRNA from 1 species